AAUCGGUUCUACGGCAUAGCCGACGUGUCGGCAAGGCAGUGACCGAGGGAGAUGAGCCGCGCUCACAGAGCGAAAAAUCAAGGAGUGGGUAGAGUUUGGUAGGUCCUUCAAGGAUUCGAAGAAGUCGGAC
rnacentral:sRNA from 1 species